UACGUAGGGUGCGAGCGUUAAUCGGAAUUACUGGGCGUAAAGCGUGCGCAGGCGGCGCGUUAAGACAGGUGUGAAAGCCCCGAGCUUAACUUGGGAAUUGCGCUUGUGACUGGCGUGCUAGAGUGUGGCAGAGGGAGGUGGAAUUCCACGUGUAGCAGUGAAAUGCGUAGAGAUGUGGAGGAACACCGAUGGCGAAGGCAGCCUCCUGGGCCAGCACUGACGCUCAUGCACGAAAGCGUGGGGAGCAAACAGG
rnacentral:rRNA from 1 species